rnacentral:rRNA from 1 species
AUUGAACGCUGGCGGCAUGCCUUACACAUGCAAGUCGAACGGUAACAGGUCUUCGGAUGCUGACGAGUGGCGAACGGGUGAGUAAUACAUCGGAACGUGCCUAGUAGUGGGGGAUAACUACUCGAAAGAGUGGCUAAUACCGCAUGAGAUCUAUGGAUGAAAGCAGGGGAUCGCAAGACCUUGUGCUACUAGAGCGGCCGAUGGCAGAUUAGGUAGUUGGUGGGAUAAAAGCUUACCAAGCCGACGAUCUGUAGCUGGUCUGAGAGGACGAUCAGCCACACUGGGACUGGGACACGGCCCAGACUCCUACGGGAGGAAGCAGUGGGGAAUUUUGGACAAUGGGCGCAAGCCUGAUCCAGCAACGCCGCGUGCAGGAUGAAGGCCUUCGGGUUGUAAACUGCUUUUGUACGGAACGAAAAGCCCCGGGUUAAUACCCUGGGGUCAUGACGGUACCGUAAGAAUAAGCACCGGCUAACUACGUGCCAGCAGCCGCGGUAA